CAGCCUAGGCUUGCUAGCCUCUGACCAAAGCCGUGCUUAUGCGUUUGGUAUCAGGGGUCAAUUCUCAUAAGACAAGCUUGAAGCAUGCUUGGUGCUGAUAGACUGAAAUUUCACAAGAUCGCAUUAGGUUUUCCCUGUUUGCCGGGUAGCUUAGUGUUAAAUUAAUAGACAAAAUAAACAUGUAGAUCCGAAAGCGGAGGAUUUGCGGACGCGGGUUCGAUUCCCGCCGUCUCCACCA
rnacentral:tmRNA from 1 species